rnacentral:rRNA from 1 species
CCGGCGACCGGCGCACGGGUGAGUAACACGUAUGCAGCCUGCCCUCUUCAGGGGGACAACCUUCCGAAAGGGAGGCUAAUCCCGCGUAUAUCGGUUUCGGGCAUCCGAGAUCGAGGAAAGAUUCAUCGGAAGAGGAUGGGCAUGCGGCGCAUUAGCUAGACGGCGGGGUAACGGCCCACCGUGGCGACGAUGCGUAGGGGUUCUGAGAGGAAGGUCCCCCACACUGGUACUGAGACACGGACCAGACUCCUACGGAAGGCAGCAG